CUCUGCCGCCAGGAGCGCCUCUCGUCCACUGGGCAGUACCAGGGAACUCUGUUUGCCGAGCAGCCGACCAUGUUCAUCAGCCCAGCCAGCAACCCACCCAGAACCAAGCUGUGGGAGCUGGUCCUGCUAUGUGGGGGCCAGGUCACGCGAGUCCCUCACCAGGCAAGCAUCUUCAUCGGACCCUCCUCAGGAAAGAAGAAGGCAACAGUCAAGUACCUGUCAGAAACCUGGAUCUUAGAUUCAGUCACUCAGCACAAGGUCUGUGCCUCUGAGAACUACGUGCUGGCGUGAUGGAGUCAACACUCAACCACAGCUGCUGCACACAGUCUGCCCAGCGGUCCCUGGACAGUCCAGCAAGAAAGGCAGCUGUGAGGAGAGAGGUGGGCACAGAAAGGAUGCCUUUUCUGUCGUCAAGUUUGCCUUGUGUGCUGUGGUUUUUAUAUGAAGAUGCUCCUUUGUGUGGCUUUCUGAUGCCCAACUGUGUGUCUCAGAGAGGCACCGACCAGCCCCUUUGGGCCUUUUCUGUAUUAUGCCAGUCUGUGUGUCUUAGUGAUGAUCGUAAUUAAGAGGUCCUAGAACCUUUGUCAUUGGAGUGCCAUACUGUUAAAUAAAGAAAUUAUAUUGUUUUACUGAGAACAAAGAACCCCCUAAAUUUCUUUGUUAGACCAUAAGAACUUUAUUGCUAUAACAUCUAUUAAAUAUGAAGGAUAUUGGACAGUUAUCAGGGUUACUCUUUAUGUACUUGAGAUUCUUCUAAAAGUAAUUGAUGGGGACAAGGGUGAGGAGUCACAGUUAGUGAUGACGGUGCUACUGAAGUAGCCCUGCUUCUCCAAGCUUAGUUUCUGGCGAGGAGAGCAUCACUAGGUGACUGGGGCCUCCGUUGGCCACCUUGGGGUUCACCAUGCCCUGGAGGAAAUGACAUUUGGGCCAAAUCAUACACACACUGGCUCAUCACCUUCCAGAGGCAAAAAAUGCUAAUUCCAGCAAGGUUGAAGGUGCCAUUAAGACUUUCUCGUGACACUGUCCCCUCUUGUGUUGUUUUUUGUUACUCAACACAGCUGCUGUUUCUACCUCAAAUAAAUUACAAGUCCCUCCACAAAUACAAGGGAUCAACUUUUGGAGUAAACCUUCUAGGAAAGCAGUAACAACACACAUGGAAACAGUGAAGGGUUUUCCCUUUGUGUUAGUGUAGCGAAUCCCCCAGAAAGUCCCUCAUAAUACUCAUACCUGAUAGUGGUUGAGCCUCAGCACAGCUCGCCAGGCCUGAGUCAUUCCUUCCACCUUAUGAACCUUGUUUAUAUUUGCUACUUCCUGGGCUUGGCUACUUUGAAGAUCAGGUACUUUGGCAGAGCUUCCCUAACACCAAAAAUUCCCAAGGCAGCUGACAUAAAUUGUGUGGACUCCCACUGGGGACAAGCCACAAAGAACUUCCAUCGCCUGACCACAUGGGCCACAGAGUGCCACCUAGGCCCUGUGUGCCCCCAGGCCUGCAUCCUCAGAGCCAAGUCCUUACUCCUGAUGCUGGCCUGCCAGUCAGGAUUCUCUUUCUAAAAGCUAAUAUUUUACAAGGAUUUGUGCCAGGCUUUACACUAAGCAUUUUCUGUAUGGUACCUCAUUUACCCUCCCAAUAAUUGUAAAUUAGAUACUAUAGGUUUACAAGCCCUUACCAAAACACAUAGGGGCCAUAAGUGUCUCAGAAUUCUGAUUUUCCUUUUAACUUUGAAACGUAUGUUGCUCUCAUGACUUCUAUUUGACAUUGUGUUAGAGAUUCUACCAAGAAAAGGCCAGAAAAGGAAUUAAAGGUAUACAGAUGGAAAUGAAGAAGUAAAACUAGUCUCAGAUCACAUGGUACUAUAUGUAGAAAAUUAUGGGGAAUCAAAGAAAAUACAGAUUAAGCAUGUUUAGCAAGAUUACAAAAUACAAAUUCUAUAUACAAAUCUAACUAGAUUUUAUUUUUAUAUACUAUGAACAAAAAUUCAAAAUGGAAUUAACAGUUUCUUUUACAGUAUUCUCUAAAAAUUAAAUAGGAAUAAAUGUAACAAAAGAAUUAUAAGAUCUGUAUACUAAAAUCUACCAAUCAUUGCUGAGAGAUUAAAGAUCUAAAUAAAUGGAGAAAUAUACCAAAUUCAUGGAUAAGAAGACUCAAUAUUGGUAAGACGGCUGUUUUCCUCAAAUUAAUCUAGAGAUUCACUGUAAUCAUCAAAAUGCCAGAUGGGUUUGUUUGUUUCUUGAUUUUUAGGACUGCACCUGUGGCAUAUGGAAGUUCCCAGGCUAGGGGUCGAAUCAGAACUGCAGCUGCUGGCCAACACCACAGCCACAGCAACACGGGAUCUGAGCAGAGUCUGCAACAUACAUCACAGCUCACAGCGAUGCUGGAUCUUUUAACCCACUGAGCGAGGCCAAGGAUCGAACCCACAUCCUCAUGGAUAACUAGUCCAGGUUCAUUACUGCUGAGCCACAAUGGGAACUCCUCCACAAUGGGAAUUUGAAAAAAACUGAUGCUAAAAUUUAUAUGAAAAUGCAAAGAAAUUCUAGUAGGAAAAUCAGUUUUUUAGAAAAAGAGCAAAGUUUGGAGAUUUACACUACCUUACUUGAAAACUUAACUGGCUUAAAGGUAGAAUGUAGAUCAAGGGAAGAAAAUAGAGACUCUAGAUAGAAAGCCUCACAUUUAUGGUCAGUGGGUUUCAACAAAGAUGCCAAGGCAAUUCAGUGCAGCAGGAUGUUCUUUAAUACACUCGGGGAAAAAAAAAUUAAAUGCACUUAUAUCCCUACUUCACAUUGCAAAAAGAAAAAAAAAAUGUGUAGAUUCCUACCUUACACCAUACACAAAAAUCAAAAUGGACCAGAAACCUAACUCAUAGUUUCUCAACCUCAGCACUGUUGGCAUUUUGGACCAAAUAAUUCUGUGCUGUGGGGGCUGUCCUGUGCACUGUGGUAUGUUUAGCACCAUCACUGGCCUUUAGCCACUAGAUCCCAUUAGCACACCCCACCCAGUUUUGACAAUCCAGACUGUCUUCACAUAUUCCCUGAUGUCCUCUGGGAGCAAAACUGUUCCCAGGUGAGAACCAAUGACCUAAUAUAAGAACUAAAUCUAGAAGAAAACAGGAAAUCCUUCUGAAAGUUUAGGCAAAGAUUUCUUAGAUAUGAUAUUAAAGGCACAAUUCAUAAAAGAGUAAGUUGAACUUGGAAGUUUUAAAAAGUUUUGCUGUUCCAAAGAAACCAUUAAGAAAAUGAAAAGCCACAAACUAGGAAAAAUAUUUGUAAACCAAACAUAUGGAAGGAAUUGUGUCCAGUAUUGUAAAGAACUUCUAUUCAUUAGCAGGAUAAUAAACAAAGAAUGGGCAAAAGAUAUUUUACACAAGAACAUAUAGAAAUGAUUAAUAAGCACAUGAAACAAUGCUUAACAUUAUCAAUCAUUAGAAAAACGCAAAGUAAAAGCACAAUGAGAUGCCUGUGUGCCCUCAGGAAUGGCCAUAACCAACAAUUCUGACAAUAAGAACUGACCAGCAUGUUGUCUUUAGAACCCUCAUGCAUUGCUGGUGUGGCUGUAUUAUUUUGAGGUUUCGUUUAAAAAUUGAACAUACACUUACCAUGUGACCCAGCAACUUCACUCUUACCUGUAUACCCAAGAGAAAUGAACAUGUGUCUAUCUGCUCAGGUACUUGCACAUAAAUGUUCAUAGCAACAUCUUUCACACCAGCCAAAAACUAGAAGCAAUCCAUUAACUGAUAAAUAAACAAAAUGUGCUAUAUCCAUACCACAGAUUGCUACUCGGUGAUAGAAAAGCAAACUGCUGAUACAGGCAAAAACGUGAUCAUCCUCAAGGACAUAUAAGUCAAAGAAGCCAGACCUAAAAGGCUACAUAUUGUAUGAUUUCAUGAAAAAUUUGUACAGAAGACAAAAACUAUAAAGGCAGAAAAUACAUCAAUGGUUUCCUGUCACUGGGGAUAGGAGUGGGAAUACACAGCAAACAUUUUGGGAUGAUGGGAUCAUUCUAAUACUCAAUUGUGAUUUUGGUUGUACCACUGUAUUCAUUUACUAAAAUCAUUGAACAGUAAAUUUUGUGCAUAAAUUAUGUAUCAAUAAAGCUGCUUAAAAAAAAAA
rnacentral:lncRNA from 1 species